rnacentral:rRNA from 1 species
UACGUAGGGGGCAAGCGUUGUCCGGAAUCAUUGGGCGUAAAGCGCGCGUAGGCGGCCCGGUAAGUCCGUUGUGAAAGUCAAAGGCUCAACCUUUGAACGCCGAUGGAUACUGCCGGGCUAGAGUCCGGAAGAGGCGAGUGGAAUUCCUGGUGUAGCGGUGGAAUGCGCAGAUAUCAGGAGGAACACCAAUAGCGAAGGCAGCUCGCUGGGACGGUACUGACGCUGAGGCGCGAAAGCGUGGGGAGCGAACGGG